AGCAAGCGUAUCAUUCAGCACGAUUUGCGGGAAAGCAGUCAUCCAUAUUGGUUGAAGCAGUUGUUCUUCACUUUUAUUCUGUUUUCUAUAAAGUCACAGCACUGGGCAUCAUCUGCAUUCAAGACUGGGGUCAUAAGCUGUCAUAGGAGGCCAAUCCACAAUUGGGCUUUGACAACUUUGCGACGCCUUUGUGAUUUCUCUGAGACGCUUUAAAUAAGCUGUUUAUCAUAGUUAUUUCCAGAGAUUGUAUUACAAUUAUGUAAUCAUUAAAAGUUAUAGUGUUGAGGGAAAACUAAAUUAAAUGGACAUGUAAUGAACCCAGCUUGUGUGUUGUCUGUAUAUAUUCAUUUUUAUAAUAUAAGGAACACAAUUGCAAGCCACAAAUGGCGCCCAACGUGGUUAUAUUUUAGAUUUCUCUCAUUUAAGAACUGAACAUUAAUUUAAAAAAAAAUUAAUAAAAAUAAAUGAGUAUUGAUGAUUGUUAAAGAUUGUGGAAAAUCUUUGGUUGUAUGGAGGACGUACAGCUUAUUCGGUAGCCAGUGGUCGGAACAGUUGGCGUGUGCAGUGGAGCAAUCCAGGUGGCAUUCUGAGCGAUUAUUUGUUGGGAGCGACGAGCGAUCUUUAGGAGCGAGUAGAACAUCAGUGCCUGCAAAGUGACUGGAGCGUGUGACAUUGACAUUUCCGUGUGAUUGAGAAAAACACAUUUGUAUUUUGGCCAACAAGUUUAUUUCAGAGGUGUUGUUUGUCUGGAGGUGGUGACCAGCAUUCAAAUCACACAGCUAUUAAGUUAACAG